rnacentral:rRNA from 1 species
UAGUCCUAGCCGUAAACGAUGAGAACUAGGAUGGGGUGCUUUGACAUCCCGUUCGUAGCUAAUGUAUUAAGUUCUCCGCCUGGGGAGUAUGGUCGCAAGGCUAAAACUCAAAGGAAUUGACGGGGGCUCACACAAGCGGUGGAGUAUGUGGUUUAAUUCGAAGCAACGCGAAGAACCUUACCCGGUCUUGACAUGGACGGAUUAAUUCUAUGAAAGUAGAAGGACGCUCUUCGGAGUGGAACGUUCACAGGUGUUGCAUGGCUGUCGUCAGCUCGUGUCGUGAGAUGUUGGGUUAAGUCCCGUAACGAGCGAAACCCUUGUUUCUAGUUGCCAGCGGGUAAUGCCGGGGACUCUAGAGAGACUGCCUGUUUUAAGCAGGAGGAAGGUGGGGAUGACGUCAAGUCCUCAUGGCCUUUAUGACCGGGGGCUACACACGUACUACAAUGGAUAACACAAAGGGUAGCCAAGCAGUAAUGUGGAGCCAAUCCCAAAAAUUAUACCUCAGUUCGGAUUGAAGGCUGCAAUUCG